CAACCGUAGUGCACGCUCCUGCUAAUGCACAGCGCCCUGGCGAUGAACACGGUGGUGGAUUCCACGCACACUCACGUGUGCCUAGGUGUACGCAUGCGUCUGUACGCAGUUCUGCACCUGCCUAAGACUUUGGCAAUGGGCUGGGAGAGCAGCCACCCCUGGGCCAGGCCACAGGGCCUGAUGUCCUUGGCCCGGUGUGGUGACAUCACCGGGCUCCCCCCACGCACACACACCCCGCAGCACAGCAACUCCUGGACACCAUCUUGCCAUCUCUCCUCUCUGACAUCAAAGGCCCAGGCAGCAGCGUCCCCCGCCUCCCGGCCCCGGGGGAAGCCGAGCCAGGGGAGCAGAGGAGACCAGCGAAGGCAGCUCAGACCAGGCGCUCCAGAAACCGGAAGGAAGGGCAGCGCCCCACUGCUAAGCAGGAGGAUCUUAGGGUGGGGGUUGGGGGUGGCUGCUGUCUGUCUUUUCUCUUUUUGCAAUACUAGGGAUUAAACUCAGGGCCUUUGCAC
rnacentral:lncRNA from 1 species